CUUCAACACAACAGAAACCACGACAACCAUGACUCUGAUCACCAUCUUCAUCUGGACACUGGUCUGCUGCUGCUUCAAAGGAUCCAAAGGUCAGGUGACUGUGACUCAGCCUCCUGUAGUGACAUUUUCUCCAGGAGACCCCGUCACUCUGACCUGUAAAACCAACCCUAAAGUGUACAAAUGGAGUAGUGGAGAUGAGGGUGCGUUCUGGUAUCAACAGAGACCUGGAGAAGCUCCCAAACUCCUGAUAAAAUAUGCAAAGAAACUGCUAGAUGGGAUUCCUGCUAGAUUCAGUGGCAGUGGGUCUGAGAGUGACUUCACUCUGACCAUCAGUGGAGUCCAGGCUGAAGAUGCAGCAGUUUACUACUGUCAGAGUUACCACAGUGGUGGUGUGUUCACACAGUGAUUUAGAGCCGUACAAAAACCU